UUGAUCCUGGCUCAGGAUGAACGCUAGCGGCAGGCUUAACACAUGCAAGUCGAGGGGCAGCACGGGUAGCAAUACCUGGUGGCGACCGGCGGAAGGGUGCGUAACGCGUGAGCAACCUGCCCGUAUCUGGGACAUAACCGGUGGAAACGCCGCCUAAUUUCCCAUAACAACAGAGGCCGCAUGACCUUUGCUUGAAAGCUUCGGCGGAUACGGAUGGGCUCGCGAGACAUUAGCUUGUUGGUGAGGUAACGGCCCACCAAGGCUACGAUGUCUAGGGGUUCUGAGAGGAAGGUCCCCCACAUUGGAACUGAGACACGGUCCAAACUCCUACGGGAGGCAGCAGUGAGGAAUAUUGGUCAAUGGACGGAAGUCUGAACCAGCCAUGCCGCGUGCAGGAAUAAGGCCCUAUGGGUCGUAAACUGCUUUUGUGGUGGAGCAAUAAGGCGUACGUGUACGUCGAUGAGAGUACAUCACGAAUAAGCAUCGGCUAACUCCGUGCCAGCAGCCGCGGUAAUACGGAGGAUGCAAGCGUUAUCCGGAUUUAUUGGGUUUAAAGGGUGCGUAGGCUGUGCGGCAAGUCAGGGGUGAAAGCCCGCCGCCCAACGGCGGAACUGCCUUUGAUACUGUCGCGCUGGAAUACGGAUGCCGUGGGAGGAAUGAGUAGUGUAGCGGUGAAAUGCAUAGAUAUUACUCAGAACACCGAUUGCGAAGGCAUCUCACGAAUCCGUCAUUGACGCUGAGGCACGAAAGCGUGGGGAUCAAACAGGAUUAGAUACCCUGGUAGUCCACGCAGUAAACGAUGAUGACUAACCGUCGGCGAUACACAGUCGGUGGCCAAAGCGAAAGCGAUAA
rnacentral:rRNA from 1 species